UUUAUUUUUUUGCUGCAAUCUAAUGAAAACAUUUAUGGAAUGUAGUCCAGAAUUCACCAUACGACAUACCCCGUGGUGUGUACUUUCACAAAGGGUAGGCCUUUGUGGUGUAAUUUGAACAGCCAGGCCCAAUAAAUCCAUCUUUCAAAAUUCUACUGUAAAAGCUGUAAGGACUCCUCCUAUAUGGCACUGUUGCAACACAGGAUAGUUGCAAAGGCAUACAUUGUGGAUAUAGCUUUAUUCAGAAGAUAUAACUAAAUCCAAUAUUGAGUUUUGUGUAAGAAUAGCACACAGGUUGUAUAUAUAUAUAUAUAUAUA